UCUCCAGUAGCACAGUGGUAGUUGCGUCGAGCUGUUAGUCACUCCCAUGCGUGAUUGCAACUCGAAGGUCGCAAGUUCGACUCUUGUCUGGAGAG